AGUCGCGUAGCUCAGUUGGUUAGAGCGUUGAUCUUAUGAGCUGAAGGUCGCAGGUUCGAGGCUCGCCGGGACCA
rfam:Jatropha curcas cultivar GZQX0401 scaffold687_8, whole genome shotgun sequence.